rnacentral:lncRNA from 1 species
UAGAGAAGUCAUUCUGAAGACUCAACAGUGGAUGUGGGCUAAAAAUCCAAAAACUAGGAUAGUAAAUCAAGAGUCUUGAAUUAUUCGGAAGCUGAGAUGAAAUUUAACCAAUAGUGAAAUUGGAUCUACCAUGACACAUGGGAGAGAAAAUUCAAAGGCAAGGAGCUUGAGAGCUGGGAAUUUUAUAUUUUUCAGGUGAUGUAAAUGGAUCACUAUGUCUUCAUCCACAAACAAAACUUGGGCAUUGAGCCCCUAAAAGUCCACCUUGUGUACUGGUGUGUCACAUGCAACUCAUCUAUUUCCUCCCAUUUUCAAUUGUCAAGUGGCCGCCUCCUUUCCUUCUUUUCACACUCACAAACACAUGACAAUAUAC